rnacentral:lncRNA from 1 species
CUGGGGCCUUUAUGGGGUGACCUCCAUCAGCCCAGUGACAUGACCACCAACUAAGUAUUAAGAUAGAAGAGAACUUUUCCCAUAGUUUUGCCCUUUUUCCACACCUGGACUCUAAGGGCAGGGGAGAAUUUCUAGCAAGGUCCCAGCCGUGGCUAAGAGCUGAUUGAAGGGUUCCUAUGAAGAAAGAUGACUGAGAGAUGGGAAUAUUGACUGAGUCGGCAGAAAGAAAAGUGAGAGGAGGGACUUAGACAAGCUCUGGAGUCCAUUGGGGCUAAAAAGGUGACAGGGAACUGUUCACAGUGGAAAAGAGCCUUCUCAAGAAAGGUCUUCUAGAAAUCAUCCACCCCCUGGAAGCCUGAGGGCGUGUCUCCGAAAACCAAAGAGUGAUAAACCCGGUGCCUUCAAGUAAUCUGUUAAGCAGCUUUCGGGGAGGUGCCACGCCCUCCCGAGGUCAGCCGGCUGCCUUUGAGAUGAGCUCAGAGGCUUCCAGGCCCUCCCUCCUGGAUGGAGCCCUUGAGAUCUGAGCUCUGGAAAAUAGAAGCCUUGCUGAUCUUUCUGAGUUUGUGGUAGCCUCCACCGGCUCCACCUGCACAGAUCAAGAAUUUGGAAGGCCAUUGUCCCUGCCGAGAGGCCAGACCUCUGUUCCUGCUCUGUCAUCACCUUAGUCUUCCAAGCAGGCAGGCAGGAGAGAAUCUUGCAUUUGGUUGGUUACGAUGCCCUGCCCUCGAGUUGGGGUCUGAGUUUCCUUGUGGCUCAGCAGGUUAAGGAUCUGGUGUUGUCACUGCUGCAGCUCAGGUCGCUGCCGUGGCGCAUGUUUGAUAUCUGGCCCAGGAACUUCUUCAGGCAGCAGGUGUGGCCCGAAAAUCUGGGGUCUGUCUGUCGCUGUGAGCUGCAACAAAAAUGCCAAAUGGUGAAUAACUGUUGGGGGAGGGUCUCCUCUCCCCCUGAUCAGUCCAAACCUCCCCCAUCUCAAGCCCUCCCAUCUGACCUGCACCACCUGCUCUCAGAGUAAAUGUUCUGAGCAGAGUGUGGUACACAGCCCAGCACUCAAGACUCCAGGCCUGCUCUUUAGAUGACCCUCCAUCUUUCUGGCGACCCUUCCUUUGGUGUGCCAGUGUGGGUCACUGAGCAAAUAUUUGUCGAGUGUCUGUUAUAUGCCAGGCCUAGCAGGGGACAGAGUCCUCCCGGUGCAGACUGAGCGGUGUGAAGUUGGGACAUCAGUUGUGAAAUAAACGGCCAGUCAUUCGGAGUAAAAUCCACUCCUGCAGCCAGCCAGCCGUACUCCCACGUGUAUGGCUUCAGGGAAGCCACUCUAGCGGUGGUCACUUCGGAGGCUCCCGAGAUGAGGGGCAAAGGGCGGUAGGACUAAGGGCCUGUGUCAGGGGCCCUGCACCCACUAAACAGCUAGUCCAAUCCUGGCACUUGGCACCUCUGACGAGGACUGGCUGGACCCCAAAUCUGGUUCUGAGAUGUGCCCCGUUUGCUGUUGGUGGUGGUUUUCCCAUAGGCCUCUGUGCAGAAAGAUGUCCUUCUUAUCCAGAAUAUUACUACUGAGGGGCUUGGGCUGGUUUCAGCCAAAUAUCUUACAAUGAGAUGGAGCAGACACACUAGGGAAUAAGGAGAAAAGGAAGCUUCUGCUCGGUGAUAAGAUGCUGCCAAACAGCACUCCCCUGAUGCAGUGCCACCAAAUCCCCACACCAGGAAGCUGAGCAGUGCUGGGCAAAGGACUGUGGGAGUUGGGGCCCGGCUGCUGCUGGCCAGCAGGCAACCACCAAAGAUCUGGAAGCCAGGCCCCCUGAUUCCCUUCCUCCCAGGACCAAACACUGACGGCCAAGGGAUGCAGGGCAGCUCUCAACUGCGGCCUCCUCACAAGGAAAACACCUGGCCUGCUGGCCUUCCAGGGACCAACUAAGUUCAUCCUGAAACUGCUUUGACCACUAAAGAACUGUGCAGAUGUCAGCUAUCAGAUCUGCCAUAAACAUGUCAGUCAUGAUCCAAAGUGCAGGACAAAACAGAGGCUCGUAGCUUGGAGACCAGUUGCUAAGCUUCUGAGAUCCCCAUAUGCUGGCUGGGGGGAGCACCCCCUGCAAAAGAAAGGAACCUCUCUUAUCCUGCGAGCUGCCCUGCAGGGCGGCGGCUCCCUCCCACUCUCCAGACAACAGGCACAAAGCUGGGCUGGCCAGGCAGUGGCCUCCCCCUCUGCUCGGUCCUCGGAGCCCUGGGGGUGGGUCAGUCCCAGAACAGAGGUCCCUCGUGUCCGCAUCUGCACAUGGAGGCCAAGACAGAGAAAAUGUGAUCCCUUGCCUGCCCCCACUUCUGCUGCCAGAAAUUGAGGUCGAGGGCUGGCCCUAUGGUGCAAGUAUGUUCAGUGGGAGCAGGGGACAGAAUGUCAGCAACUGGGAUUCUGGGGUGCAGAAGAGUUACUAUUUACUAAGAGCCAGAAACCUUGCAGUUUUGCCAUACACGUUCAAACUGAGUGCUUAACGACGUAAAUAUAUUAUCACAUACUACAGUUCUGGCCGUCAAAAGUCCAAAAUGUGUCACACGAGGCUAAAAGCGUGGUGUCAGCAGAGUCGUAUUCCUCCCGGAGGCUCUAGGGAAACGCAGCUUCUUUGGCUCUUGCAGCUUCGAGAGGCCACCCACAUGCUUUGGCCCACGGCCCCCCUCCAGCAGUCACACCGCUCCAGCCUCGCUCUGUCCUCUCAUCUCCUCUGCCUCUCCUGCCUCCUUCUUGUGUAUUUUAAUGAUCCUCAUGAUGACAUGGGCCUGGAUAACCCAGGACAGUCACCCCAUCUCAAGGUUCCUCCUGCCAUGUGAGGUAACGGCCACAGGUUCCAGGAGGAAGGACAUGGACAGGCUUGGGGGGCUGUUACUCUCCCUGCCAAAUGCACUCCUGCUGCUGUAAGUCUAGGGGCUGGCGUGUUCUAGCCUUCAUUUCACAGAUAAGAAACUGAGUUGUGGGGAAGGUUCAGGAACUUGCCCCGAGUCAUACAGCUAACAAGUGGCAGAGCUGGCGUUCAAACCUCAGGUGUCAGUCCAGCUCCAAAGCUCUCCCCUCUGAGGAGAAAGCCCUGAGGCUGGCCGGGCUGGGGGAGGCUGCUCCAGAUCUGGCAGACUGGCGGCGUUUUAGAGCCUUAGGGCGUUUCUUGGGUCGGUGGUACAGGGUGCCUUUCUGCCCUGGCUCCUCAGUCCAGAGACCUGGGUCCUCAGUCCAGCCCUUCCUCCAGCUCCCUGCAAGACCAGGGACACUGGGCAGAUCCUCCACUCUUCAGGGUCCUCGUCUGAGGAUGGCGGGCAGGGGAGAGCCCAGGGGCAGAUCUCAGAGUUCUCUCCUUGCACAUUCCCAGCUUCUAUGCCCCAGGCCCUUUUGGGGACCUGGCAUCCGGGAUUUCAGGCCUUCCAAGGAGAAACUUUACAAAAUGGCUCUGCAAACAAACACCCACAAACACACAGCACUGCUUUACAGGAUUUCCCUGGGUCCAUCCUCCAGCAGCACUCGUUUUUGUCUUCAUUUUACUGACAAGAAACCAAGGCUCAGAUGACAUAACUGGCUCCCGAACCUCCUUCAGGAUUUUGCAAGUUGAAGACAAAAAUGAAAUGAGAAACCAGGCCCUUGCCACCAGCAGUCCAGAGGCCUUUCCCUAAGGCUGGUGUCCAUUCUCAUUGGUGUGGGAUCCAAUAUCGAGAUGAACAAGGCAAGAUCUAUGCAUGCCAUUUAAGGGACUGUCCUUUAUUCUGAGAUUAUACCCUGUUUUAGUGUUUAAAAAAAUCUUUUUUAAAUUUUAAUUGUUUUGGAG